GAUCAUGGCUCAGGACGAACGCUGGCGGCGCGCCUAACACAUGCAAGUCGAACGAGGGAGAGGAAGCUUGCUUCCUCAAUCGAGUGGCGAACGGGUGAGUAACGCGUGAGGAACCUGCCUCAAAGAGGGGGACAACAGUUGGAAACGACUGCUAAUACCGCAUAAGCCCACAGGUCGGCAUCGACCAGAGGGAAAAGGAGCAAUCCGCUUUGAGAUGGCCUCGCGUCCGAUUAG
rnacentral:rRNA from 1 species